GGUAGUAUAGUGGUCAGUAUCCCCGCCUGUCACGCGGGAGCCCGGGUUCGAUUCGCCGGGAGUA